CGUUCUCCAAGGCCAGAACGGGACAGAUGGAGAAAUUGAGAUGAGAGCUCAUCCACAAGAUUACCCAUCAAUGAGCACCAAUAGCAACCAAAUCCACUAGAAGACUGGGAGCUUUUAAGUCAAGAAACUUACAUCAGUAUCAUCAUUCCAAGAAGCGGUAUCCAAGCUGUUUUAUCGAAAGUGCGCAUGGGAGGCAGAUUUUGACUCCAAAAGUCCAGGAUGGGGCCUGAGGUUCUGCAUGUCUAACAAUUUCCCAGCUGAUGCCAAAGCUGCUGAUCAGAGUCUACACCUUAAGAAAUAAGACUCUGAGAAUUUAUAGAAACAAACAUUAGAAGGCAGGAAUGUGGAGAGAAGAAAGCUACCUGACAAGGGAAUCUCAGGAUACAAGGAAAACACCAAGAAGUCCCCAUGAGUCCCUACAGCCACAAUAAAUUGAAUUCUGCCAAAAAUCUUAAUAAGCUUGGAAGAAGACCUUCAGCUCCUGAUGAGAACCCAGCCAGAAACAAGAUGAGAACCCAGAAACAAGAUUUUCAUCUUAUUUCAACCUGAGCAGAGAACCCAGAGGAGCCCUGGCCAGAUUUUUGGUCUACAGGAUUGAGAAGACACCUGCCUGAGGGUCUUAUAGCUAAUGGACUGCAGAAGACUUGAGUCAUCAUUCAAAUUCAGUAGCCAUCCUCUGAUGUCCAGUUGAAGAUUGGUGAUUCCAGAAUAGCUCGCAUUGCCCCAGUUGACUUGCCACACAGCUUCUUUCAGGACUUGAAAAUGUCCUAGCCACCCCCAUCUUACCUCCUACUUCCAAUGCCUUUUAAGAUAGAAAACAAAAAACAAAACAACAAAAAAACACCAGCCACCCUUGUGGGUUAGAUAAUCCUACAUCAAGGUGAAUUCUUGAUAACCAGUUCUGUUCUUCCUUAUGUCUUGUAAACAUGCUAAUUAGAAGGAGCUUGUGUUUGAAGAUCAAGGGAGGAAGAAUUCUGAAGCCAGGGCUAGCCUUAGGGGACAUAACUCCUUCCAGUCACUUCCUGAAUUUUUUGGUACCUGGCUUUUGAGAGUCCUCCAAAGUGAGAAUUUCAUGACAUGUAACCUCUCAACACCUGCAUUUUAAAAAAUUGUCCAAAA
rnacentral:lncRNA from 1 species